UACAGAGGUCUCAAGCGUUGUUCGGAUUCAUUGGGCGUAAAGAGCUCGUAGGCGGUCUGUUGCGUCCGCUGUGAAAACUCGGGGCUUAACCCCGAGCCUGCAGUGGAUACGGGCAGACUAGAGGUAGGUAGGGGAGAAUGGAAUUCCCGGUGUAGCGGUGAAAUGCGCAGAUAUCGGGAGGAACACCGGUGGCGAAGGCGGCCUGCUGGGCUGUUGCUGACGCUGAGGCGCGACGGCGUGGGGAGCAAACAGG
rnacentral:rRNA from 1 species